UGGAGCACGCCGCGUGCAGGAUGAAGGCCUUCGGGUUGUAAACUGCUUUUAUUGGUGAAGACAUCCGACAGUAACCAAUGAAUAAGGGUCGGCUAACUACGUGCCAGCAGCCGCGGUCAUACGUAGGACCCAAGCGUUAUCCGGAAUUACUGGGCGUAAAGAGUUGCGUAGGUGGCAGAGUAAGUAGGAAGUGAAAGCGUUCGGCUCAACCGGAUAUGCAUUUCUUAAACUGCUCAGCUAGAGAAUGAGAGAGGUCACUGGAAUUCCUAGUGUAGGAGUAAAAUCCGUAGAUAUUAGGAGGAACACCGAUGGCGUAGGCAGGUGACUGGCUCAUUUCUGACACUAAGGCACGAAAGCGUGGGGAGCAAACAGGAUUAGAUACCCUGGUAGUCCACGCCGUAAACUAUGGAUGCUAGCUGUUAGAAGUAUCGACCCUUCUAGUAGCGAAGCUAACGCGUUAAGCAUCCCGCCUGUGGAGUACGGCCGCAAGGCUAAAACAUAAAGGAAUUGACGGGGACCCGCACAAGCGGUGGAGCGUGUUGUUUAAUUCGAUGAUAAGCGAAGAACCUUACCCAGGCUUGACAUCUUCGGAAGCUUUGCGAAAGCAGAGUGUGCCUUCGGGAACCGA
rnacentral:rRNA from 1 species